rnacentral:rRNA from 1 species
GUACACACCGCCCGUCACACCAUGGGAGUUGGUUCUACCCGAAGGCGUUGCGCUAACCUUUAGGGGGCAGCCGACCACGGUAGGGUCAGCGACUGGGGUGAAGUCGUAACAAGGUAGCCGUAGGUGAACCUGCAGAAGGAUCA